UGCCGAUGUGGCGGAACUGGUAGACGCGGUAGACUCAAAAUCUACUUCUGCUCGCAGAGUGUCGGUUCGAGUCCGACCGUCGGCAU
rnacentral:tRNA from 1 species